CAAUCAAACUACCAAUUGUUCGCCAAAUAACUACGAGUAAAAACUUAAAAUUUAAAAGACUUGACGGUGCCUCAAAACAACCUAGAGGAGCCUGUCUAAUAACCGAUACUCCACGAUUAACCCAACCCACCCUAGCCUAACAGUCUAUAUACCGCCGUCGCCAGCCUACCUUGUGAAAGAAACAAAGUGAGCUCAAUAGUCAUCACUAACACGACAGGUCGAGGUGUAACUCAUGGGGGGGGACCAAGAUGGGCUACAUUUUCUAAACCAGAAAACACGAAUUAACCUAUGAAAAAGAAACUGAAGGCGGAUUUAGCAGUAUGCCGAGAACAACUAACCCUGCAGAAACCAACGCAAUGAGGCGCGUACACACCGCCCGUCAUCCCUGUCAACCAACUACAAAAUAUAUAAA
rnacentral:rRNA from 1 species